UUUAAUUUUGUUAAGCAUACAACAUGUUUGAUAGUUUUAAAUUCAUUGUAUCUAAAGAAAUAAAGUUUUGCCACAAACUCUGUUUUUAUAAUCCCUAUAUCUUUGCAACCCAACGUCGUAUACCUUAAAUAGUUCAAGCUAUGCAUUCUGUUAAAUUUAUUUGGUUUAAAAUAUAUAUAUUUGGAUAAGAAAUUUUGAAUUUUUUUCGGCAAAGACUCACUUCCUUUAUGUGAAGAAACGAGGGAACAACGAAGCAAAAAAUAUAUUAAGAAAAUAUAUAUUAUGAUAAAAAUCAACCAGAAUUACUUAGCUUUUACGACGACUGGACAGAGCCCGCCUAACCCGCCAAGAAAAGUAUGGGUCUUUAUCCAAUUAUUUGGCACAUUGCACAUUUAGGAACUCUAACGCACUUGAUUUAAGCGUUAGCUUUUUAGAAGUACUUGGUAAAAAAAUUGUUAGAGCUUGAAACCUUUGGAUCACUGUAAUGCAUUUUUAAACGAUUCUAUCAAUUAAAUAAAAAUUGUCUUGAUGGUCGGACAAACCUCAAUGGAUGCUGAGAACCUGUAGUUAAAUUACGUAAUCCCUUCUCACACCAAAGAAUGAACACAAGAACUAAGGAUUUUCCAAAUAUAGAGAGUCAAAUCUGCUAACAGUGUAUCCUACAGUUGACUGCAGUGGGCAAAGAUUUAUAAACAAAGAUUUUAUUUCAGUAGUGAAAAGUUUUAGGAGUACUAAGUUUGUUUACAUUCCUCCAAGACAAUGCAGUACACAAAUGAUUUGAGGGUUUCUGCCGUAUUGUCCUUAUCUCAGAGAGAGCCAAAGUUACAUAUAUAUCAUUAAUCAAGGCGUCUGCAUUUCAGAGAAUUGGACAAAAAACCGUCCUGCGUGGGAUUCUCUGCAGCCCAUGAUUAAAAUAUUUGAUCUGUUCCUGACUAGAGUACCCACAAACUGUUGCUGACUGGAUUAAACAGAAAUAAAAAAUAAAUUUUAA